rnacentral:sRNA from 1 species
AUUAGAGGAAUACUGUCUAAGUUCGCGACAUCGUGUCGCAACGACUGCAUGACCUGCAUCCUGCUGG